GCCUCGGUAGUGUAAUGGAUCAGCCCAACAGACCCGAUAUCUGUAAGUGCGGGUUCGAGUCCCACCUGAGGUU
rfam:Dictyocaulus viviparus strain HannoverDv2000 D_viviparus-1.0_Cont30.28, whole genome shotgun sequence.